CGGCUCCUCGACUUUGAAAGCGAUGCGUAUCGAUUUUCGGAUCGGUGCGUGCACGAGGAGUUUCGAGC
rnacentral:rRNA from 1 species